rnacentral:rRNA from 1 species
UACGGGGGGGGCAAGCGUUGUUCGGAAUUACUGGGCGUAAAGCGUGCGCAGGCGGUUCGUUGUGUCGGCGGUGAAAGCCCCGGGCUCAACCUGGGAAUGGCCGUUGAAACUGGCGAACUGGAGUGUGGCAGAGGGGGGUGGAAUUCCGCGUGUAGCAGUGAAAUGCGUAGAGAUGCGGAGGAACACCGAUGGCGAAGGCAGCCCCCUGGGCUAACACUGACGCUCAGGCACGAAAGCGUGGGGAGCAAACAGG